CCUACGGGAGGCAGCAGUGGGGAAUUUUGGACAAUGGGCGAAAGCCUGAUCCGGCAAUGCCGCGUGAGUGAAGAAGGCCUUCGGGUUGUAAAGCUCUUUUGUCAGGGAAGAAACGGUGAAAGCUAAUAUCUUUUGCUAAUGACGGUACCUGAAGAAUAAGCACCGGCUAACUACGUGCCAGCAGCCGCGGUAAUACGUAGGGUGCAAGCGUUAAUCGGAAUUACUGGGCGUAAAGCGUGCGCAGGCGGUUUUGUAAGUCUGAUGUGAAAUCCCCGGGCUCAACCUGGGAAUUGCAUUGGAGACUGCAAGGCUAGAAUCUGGCAGAGGGGGGUAGAAUUCCACGUGUAGCAGUGAAAUGCGUAGAUAUGUGGAGGAACACCGAUGGCGAAGGCAGCCCCCUGGGUCAAGAUUGACGCUCAUGCACGAAAGCGUGGGGAGCAAACAGGAUUAGAUACCCUGGUAGUCCACGCCCUAAACGAUGUCUACUAGUUGUCGGGUCUUAAAUUGACUAGUACGUACAGCUACGCGUGAGUAGACCGCCGNGGGAGGUACGGUCGGUCGAGAAGUUAAACGUAACUUAAAGUUAGUAAGUUAGACGGCGUGAGACGUUGCCGACGGACGACGACGAGGGGAGGAGGAG
rnacentral:rRNA from 1 species